UCCGGUGGCAAUAGCGGAGGGGCAACACCUGUUCCCAUUCCGAACACAGAAGUUAAGUCCUCCAGCGCCUAUGGUACUGCGGGGGUAACCCCGUGGGAGAGUAGGUCGCUGCCGGAU
rfam:Halothermothrix orenii H 168, complete genome.